rnacentral:rRNA from 1 species
UAGGGAAUCUUCCACAAUGGACGCAAGUCUGAUGGAGCAACGCCGCGUGAGUGAAGAAGGCUUUCGGGUCGUAAAACUCUGUUAUUGAAGAAGAACGUGCGUGACAGUAACUGGUCAUGCAGUGACGGUAUUCAAUCAGAAAGUCACGGCUAACUACGUGCCAGCAGCCGCGGUAAUACGUAGGUGGCAAGCGUUGUCCGGAUUUAUUGGGCGUAAAGCGAGUGCAGGCGGUCUUUUAAGUCUGAUGUGAAAGCCUUCGGCUUAACCGAAGAAGGGCAUCGGAAACUGGGAGACUUGAGCGCAGAAGAGGAGAGUGGAACUCCAUGUGUAGCGGUGAAAUGCGUAGAUAUAUGGAAGAACACCAGUGGCGAAGGCGGCUCUCUGGUCUGUAACUGACGCUGAGGCUCGAAAGCGUGGGUAGCAAACAGGAUUAGAUACCCUGGUAGUCCACGCCGUAAACGA